AACCUGUACUUGACUUUUUUUUGUUUUUGUUUUUGAGACAGAGUCUCGCUCUGUCAUCCAGGAUGGAGUGCAGUGGCACGAUCUCGGUUCACUGUAAACCCCGCCUCCCGGGUUCAAGUGAUUCUUCUGCCUCAGCCUCUUGAGUAGCUGGGAAUACAGGCAUGUGCCACCAUGCCUGGCUAAUUUUUGUAUUUUUAGUAGAGAUGGGGUGUCAACAUACUGGCCACGCUGGUCUUGAACUCCUGACCUCAUGAUCCACCUGCCUCAGCCUCCCAAAAUGCUGGGAUUACAGUUAUUAUUAUUUUUCAGCUGUUGUAAGAGGGGUUGAGUUCUUGAUUUGAAUUCAAAUCUAAACACAGUGCCAAUCUUAAAAGAUCUGUAUGCAUAGGAUUAUAGAACACCUAUUCUCUUUUUACACUUAGAAGAUAAAUAACUGCUUUUCAGUAACAGCCUGAGGAACAGAUUUCUAUAUGGCAAAUAAUAAAGGCAAAUAAAAAUUAACGCUAAAAUAGAAUGAGGAAAGUAUUCUUUCUUCACCAGAAUGGUUGUGACAGAAUGGUAAGAACAUGUAAUAGUUUUCUGUUAAUUUGCUUAGAAUAAUGGCCAUCUUCUGCAGACAUGUUGCUACAAAGGACAUUACUUCACUGUCUUCUGUGGCUGCAUGCUUUAUCUUGUUAAAUUGCUGUGGCUACGACUUUCAGGACUAUGUUGAAUAGAAGUGUUUAGAGUGGAUACUCUUUGUCUUUUUUUUUUUUUUUUUUUGAGAUGGAGUCUCACUCUUGUUGCCCAGGCUGGAUUGCAAUGGCAUGAUCUCAGUUCACUGCAACCUCUGCCUCCCACAUUCAAGUGAUUCUCCUGCCUCAGCCUCCUGAGUAGCUGGGAUUACACAUGCCUGCCAGCACGACAGGCUAAUUUUUUGUAUUUUUAGUACAGACAGAGUUUCACCCUGUUGGCCAGGCUGGUCUUGAACUCCUGACCUCAGGUGAUCCACCCACCUCAGCCUCCCAAAGAGCCGGGAUUACAGGCGUGAGCAACUGCACCCAGCCUUAUUUUUAUUCUGAUGGAGACCUCAUCCAGGUUUUGCCCGCUCAGUAUGAUGUUGGCUGAGGAUUUGUCAUGGAUGGCUCUUAUUAUUUUCAGGCAUAUUUCUCCAGUGCUUAGUUUGUUGAGAAUGUUUUUAUAAAUGAGUAUUAGAUUUUCUUGAAUGCCUUUUCUGCAUGUGAUAAUUGUUUUUUAAAAAUUAUCAGUAGAAUUAAUACCAGGUUAUCUUUGUAUAUGUGAUAAAAUGUGGCUGUGAACUCAUCUUAUCCAGGGCUUUCUAUGGUUGGUAGCUUGUUUUAUUAGUAAUUCAAUCUUAUUAUAUACUUUAUACAUUGUUGCUCUGUUCAAGACUUCUGUUUCUUUCUGGUUCAAUGCUGAGAAGCUGGAUGUAUCCAGGAGUUUAUCUAUUUUCUCUUUGACGGAGUCUCACUCUUGUCACCCAGACUGGAGUGCAAUGGCACAAUCACAGCUCACUGCAACCUCUGUCUCCCAGGUUCAAGCGAUUCACCUCCCUCUGCCUCCCAAGUAAGGAAAAAUAGAUGACUCAGAUUACUUCAAAUUAAAAAGCUGCUGCACAGAAUCUGAUGAAAUCAACAGGAUGCUGAGGCAGGUGGAUCAUGAGGUCAGCAGUUCGAGACCAGCCUGCCCAAUAUGGGGAAACCCUGGUCUCUACUAAAAAUACAAAAAUUAGCUGGGUGUGGUGGCGCAUGCCUGUAAUCCUAGCUACCUGGAAGGCUGAGGCAGGAGAAUCACAUUUGUAGGGUUUCUCUCUAGUAUGAAUUAUCUUUUGUUUCAUAAGGAUUAAGAGCCAGUUAAAGGCUUUGCCACAUUUAUCACAUUUGUAGGAUUUCUCUCCAGUAUGAAUUAUCUUGUGUUUUAAUAAAAGUUGAAAAUACACUAAAGGAUUUGACACAUUAUUUACAUUUGUAGGGUUUCUCUUUGGUAUGAAUUCUCUUAUGUUUAGUAAGGUUUGGGGACUGGUUAAAGGCUUUGCCACAUUCUUCACAUUUGUAGGGUUUCUCUCCAGUAUGAAUUAUCUUAUGUUUCAUAAGGGUUGAGGACUGGUUAAAAGCUUUGCCACAUUCUUUACAUUUGUAGGGUUUCUCUCCAGUAUGAAUUAUCUUAUGUGUAGUAAGAUGAGAGGACAGAAUAAAGCUUUUGCCACAUUCUUCACACUUAUAGGGUUUCUCUCCAGUAUGAAUUUUUUUAUGAUUAGUAAAAUUUGAGGAGUAGUUAAAAGUUUUGCCACAUUCUUCACAUUUGUAGGGUUUGUCUUCAGUAUGAAUUACUUUAUGUUUAGUAAGGAUUGAGAAUAUACUAAAGGCUUUACCACAUUCUUCACAUUUGUAGGGUUUCUUUCCAGUAUGAAUUACCUUAUGAUAAGUAAGAGUUGAGGACUUGGUAAAGGCUUUACCACAUUCUUCACAUUUGUAGGGUUUCUCUCCAGUAUGAAUUACCUUAUGAUUAGUAAGGUGUGAGGACCGGUUAAAAGCUUUGCCACAUUCUUCACAUUUGUAGGGUUUCUCUUCAGUAUGAAUUAUCUUAUGUUUAGUAAGGGUUGAAAAUACACUAAAAGCUUUGCCACAUUCUUCACAUUUGUAGGGUUUCUCACCAGUAUGAAUCCUCUUAUGUGUAGUAAGGUGUGAAGAUAGGGUAAAGGCUUUGCCACAUUCUCCACAUUUGUAGGGUUUCUCUCCAGUAUGAAUUUUCUUGUGAUUAGUAAGGUUUGAGGACUGUUUAAAAGCUUUGCCACAUUCUUCACAUUUGUAGGGUUUCUCUCCAGUAUGAACUAUCUUAUGUUUAGUAAGGUUUGAGGACCGGUUAAAAGCUUUGCCACAUUCUUCACAUUUGUAGAGUUUCUCUCCAGUAUGAAUUAUCUUAUGUCUAGUAAGAGUUGAGGACUGGUUAAAAGCUUUUCCACAUUCUUCACAUUUGUAGGGUUUCUCUCCAGUAUGAAUUAUCUUAUGAUUCGUAAGGUUUGAGGACUUUUUAAAAGCUUUGCCACAUUCUUCACAUUUGUAGGGUUUUUCUCCAGUAUGAAUUAUCUCAUGUUGAGUUAGUUGUGAAAGCAUGCAAAAUGAUUUGCCACAUUCUUUACAUUUGAAAGGAUUUUUUCCAGUAUGUCUUAUCUUAUGUCUCUUUGCAUUUGAAUAUUUAUGAAAGACUUUCACGUAUUUGUCACACUGAACUAUUUUGCUCUGGGUAGUUGUCACACACCGGUUAAGUCCCUUGUGACCUCCUUUGUGCAACUUAUGCUCAUCCACACUUUUACAGCCUUUCUGAUAUCCACAUUUUCCAUAUCUUCUCAGUAUCACUUGUUGGAAAGAAUUUUUUAUAUAUUGCUCUGGCCUAAGGUCUUUGGCAAAAUGAGAACACAUAGCUGAAAGAAAUAAAAAUAACAAAUU
rnacentral:lncRNA from 1 species